rnacentral:rRNA from 1 species
GACGAACGCUGGCGGCGUGCUUAACACAUGCAAGUCGAACGGAAAGGCCCUUCGGGGUCCUCGAGUGGCGAACGGGUGAGUAACACGUGGGUGAUCUGCCCUGCACUUUGGGAUAAGCCUGGGAAACUGGGACUAAUACCGAAUAGGACCACGCGCCUCAUGGUGUGUGGGGGCAAGCGUUUGCGGCGUGGGAUGGGUCCGCGGGCUAUCAGUUAGUUGGUGGGGUAAUGGCCUACCAAGGCGACGAUGCGUAGCCGGACUGAGAGUGUGACCGGCCACACGGGAGCUGAGAAACGAUACAGAGGACUACGGGAGGCAGCAGGAGGGAAUCGUACGCAAUGGGCGAAAGCAUGACGGAGCAACGUCGAGUGAGUGAUGAAGGUCUUCGGAGCGUAAAACUGUGUUAUUAGGGAAGAAAAAAGGUGGAAGUAACUAUGCAGGUCGUGACGGUACCUAAGCAGAAAGCAACGGCUAACUACGUG